GUGUGAAAGUGGUGUCACUCCUGAUUUGAGUGGAAGACUUUGGCGCACAUUUUAGCUGCCUGUGAAUCUGGCAUCCGUAAUGAGAUCAAAGACCACGAGGCCGCAAUAGCAGCUAGACCAGAACUGAGCCACUGGGGUUUUGGCCCCAAACAGAAAUCUGUGAGACAAAACUGUGCUGUUUGUUUGAAGGGAUGCAAUACUAGAGACAGAACUUAUUUAGAUGGAUGCUGAUGAACAAUCUGCUGAAAGGGGAAGAAUGGACUCAUCUUCUGGAAUAAGUAACCUUUAGCUCCUGCAGCACUAAAAGCUUGUGGCUCACAAGAUCCUAUUUAAUUUUUUUUGGUGUUCCUGGUUUUGAGGAAGCUCCAAGACUGGGCUUGAAGGUCCCAAAGGCUGUUCCAGCCACCUAAAUAAAAGCACAUUUAUUA